GGGGUUAUAGCUCAAAUGGUUAGAGCAUCUGUUUUGCACGCAGAAGGUUAGCGGUUCGAUUCCGCUUAACUCCA
rnacentral:tRNA from 1 species